rnacentral:rRNA from 1 species
AUCGCGNCUUANCAUGCAGUCGACGAUGAUCUCCCGCUUGCGGGGGUGAUUAGUGGCGAACGGGUGAGUAAUACGUGAGUAACCUGCCCUUGACUCUGGGAUAAGCCUGGGAAACCGGGUCUAAUACUGGAUACGACCUCCUGUCGCAUGGUGGGGGGUGGAAAGGGUUUGACUGGUUUUGGAUGGGCUCACGGCCUAUCAGCUUGUUGGUGGGGUAAUGGCUCACCAAGGCGACGACGGGUAGCCGGCCUGAGAGGGUGACCGGCCACACUGGGACUGAGACACGGCCCAGACUCCUACGGGAGGCAGCAGA